AUUGAACGCUGGCGGCAGGCCUAACACAUGCAAGUCGAGCGGUAGCACAGAGAGCUUGCUCUCGGGUGACGAGCGGCGGACGGGUGAGUAAUGUCUGGGAAACUGCCUGAUGGAGGGGGAUAACUACUGGAAACGGUAGCUAAUACCGCAUAACGUCGCAAGACCAAAGUGGGGGACCUUCGGGCCUCAUGCCAUCAGAUGUGCCCAGAUGGGAUUAGCUAGUAGGUGGGGUAAUGGCUCACCUAGGCGACGAUCCCUAGCUGGUCUGAGAGGAUGACCAGCCACACUGGAACUGAGACACGGUCCAGACUCCUACGGGAGGCAGCAGUGGGGAAUAUUGCACAAUGGGCGCAAGCCUGAUGCAGCCAUGCCGCGUGUGUGAAGAAGGCCUUCGGGUUGUAAAGCACUUUCAGCGGGGAGGAAGGCGGUGAGGUUAAUAACCUCAUCGAUUGACGUUACCCGCAGAAGAAGCACCGGCUAACUCCGUGCCAGCAGCCGCGGUAAUACGGAGGGUGCAAGCGUUAAUCGGAAUUACUGGGCGUAAAGCGCACGCAGGCGGUCUGUCAAGUCGGAUGUGAAAUCCCCGGGCUCAACCUGGGAAACUGCAUUCGAAACUGGCAGGCUAGAGUCUUGUAGAGGGGGUAGAAUUCCAGGUGUAGCGGUGAAAUGCGUAGAGAUCUGGAGGAAUACCGGUGGCGAAGGCGGCCCCCUGGACAAAGACUGACGCUCAGGUGCGAAAGCGUGGGGAGCAAACAGGAUUAGAUACCCUGGUAGUCCACGCCGUAAACGAUGUCGAUUUGGAGGUUGUGCCCUUGAGGCGUGGCUUCCGGAGCUAACGCGUUAAAUCGACCGCCUGGGGAGUACGGCCGCAAGGUUAAAACUCAAAUGAAUUGACGGGGGCCCGCACAAGCGGUGGAGCAUGUGGUUUAAUUCGAUGCAACGCGAAGAACCUUACCUGGUCUUGACAUCCACAGAACUUUCCAGAGAUGGAUUGGUGCCUUCGGGAACUGUGAGACAGGUGCCGCAUGGCUGUCGUCAGCUCGUGUUGUGAAAUGUUGGGUUAAGUCCCGCAACGAGCGCAACCCUUAUCCUUUGUUGCCAGCGGUCCGGCCGGGAACUCAAAGGAGACUGCCAGUGAUAAACUGGAGGAAGGUGGGGAUGACGUCAAGUCAUCAUGGCCCUUACGACCAGGGCUACACACGUGCUACAAUGGCAUAUACAAAGAGAAGCGACCUCGCGAGAGCAAGCGGACCUCAUAAAGUAUGUCGUAGUCCGGAUUGGAGUCUGCAACUCGACUCCAUGAAGUCGGAAUCGCUAGUAAUCGUAGAUCAGAAUGCUACGGUGAAUACGUUCCCGGGCCU
rnacentral:rRNA from 1 species